rnacentral:SRP_RNA from 1 species
GCGGGGCUUGUUGGCGUGUGCCUGUAGUCCCAGCUUCUCAGGAGGCUGAGGUGGGAGGAUCACUUGAGCCCAGGAGCUCUGGGCUGUAGUGCACUAUGCUGAUUGGGUGUCGGCACCAAGUUCAGCAUCAAUAUAGUAACCUCCCAGGAGAGGGGACCACCAGGUUGCCUAAGGAGGGGUGAACCGGCCCAGGGUGGAAAUGGAGAAGGUCAAAACUUUCUGCUGAUCAGUAGUGGGAUUGCACCUAUGAAUAGUCAUUGCAAUCCAGCUUGGGCAACAUAGCGAGACUGUGUCUCU